rnacentral:ribozyme from 1 species
UCUUUGCCGACGCCAUCUCGUGCGACGUCUCCCUCUCCCUGCCCUCCUCGCCCUCUGACGACUUGCACGUCAAACCUGCCGUUCGUUCUGCCUCUGAAGACGCCAACUCACAGCCAUCCUCGGCACUGGCC